rnacentral:rRNA from 1 species
GACGAACGCUGGCGGCGUGCCUAAUACAUGCAAGUCGAGCGAAGUUUUUCUGGUGCUUGCACUAGAAAAACUUAGCGGCGAACGGGUGAGUAACACGUAAAGAACCUGCCUCAUAGACUGGGACAACCAUUGGAAACGAUAGCCAAUACCGGAUAACAGUAUUUCUCGCAUGACAGAGAUUUAAAAGUUGGUUAUGCUAACACUAUGAGAUGGCUUUGCGGUGCAUUAGCUAGUUGGUGGGGUAAAGGCCCACCAAGGCGACGAUGCAUAGCCGACCUGAGAGGGUGAUCGGCCACACUGGGACUGAGACACGGCCCAGACUCCUACGGGAGGCAGCAGUAGGGAAUCUUCCGCAAUGGGCGAAAGCCUGACGGAGCAACGCCGCGUGAGUGAAGAAGGAUUUCGGUUCGUAAAGCUCUGUUGUUAGGGAAGAAUGGAUAUGUAGUAACUAUACAUGUAAGAGACGGUACCUAACCAGAAAGCCACGGCUAACUACGUG